CUACAAGAGGAAAUGGUUGUAGCAGAAUAGCAGGCAGCUAUUCAAUACACAAUCUCGGGGGUGAGAAUGGGUGUCUGUUCUCUGCACUGUUUUUAUGACAUGGCUCACUUCAGGAUGAAGAAUGUACAGAUGUACUGGUCUGGGGAAUUCAAAAAGACUGUAGAAAAUUUCUCCAGCCCAUCAAAGCAAAUAUAUACACAGGACUGCCAAAACGUGAUCCCAGAUAAGGAGCGCAGUGUAAAGUCGGGUUACCAUAGCAACUAACCUGACUUCUAAGAAAUCCGGCAUCAGAG